UGACCACUUCCUUCCCGGGGAGUUAAGGCCAUACGGACAGCCGGGUCAAAUGCCGA
rnacentral:sRNA from 1 species